rnacentral:rRNA from 1 species
CUACGUGCCAGCAGCCGCGGUAAUACGUAGGUCCCGAGCGUUGUCCGGAUUUAUUGGGCGUAAAGCGAGCGCAGGCGGUUAGAUAAGUCUGAAGUUAAAGGCUGUGGCUUAACCAUAGUACGCUUUGGAAACUGUUUAACUUGAGUGCAAGAGGGGAGAGUGGAAUUCCAUGUGUAGCGGUGAAAUGCGUAGAUAUAUGGAGGAACACCGGUGGCGAAAGCGGCUCUCUGGCUUGUAACUGACGCUGAGGCUCGAAAGCGUGGGGAGCAAACAGGAUUAGAUACCCUGGUAGUCCACGCCGUAAACGAUGAGUGCUAGGUGUUAGACCCUUUCCGGGGUUUAGUGCCGCAGCUAACGCAUUAAGCACUCCGCCUGGGGAGUACGACCGCAAGGUUGAAACUCAAAGGAAUUGACGGGGGCCCGCACAAGCGGUGGAGCGUGUGGUUUAAUUCGAAGCAACGCGAAGAACCUUACCAGGUCUUGACAUCCCUCUGACCGCUCUAGAGAUAGAGUUUUC